AUUGAACGCUAGCGGCAGGCCUAACACAUGCAAGUCGAACGGUAGCACAGAGAGCUUGCUCUUGGGUGACGAGUGGCGGACGGGUGAGUAAUGUCUGGGAAACUGCCCGAUGGAGGGGGAUAACUACUGGAAACGGUAGCUAAUACCGCAUAACGUCUUCGGACCAAAGUGGGGGACCUUCGGGCCUCACACCAUCGGAUGUGCCCAGAUGGGAUUAGCUAGUAGGUGGGGUAAUGGCUCACCUAGGCGACGAUCCCUAGCUGGUCUGAGAGGAUGACCAGCCACACUGGAACUGAGACACGGUCCAGACUCCUACGGGAGGCAGCAGUGGGGAAUAUUGCACAAUGGGCGCAAGCCUGAUGCAGCCAUGCCGCGUGUAUGAAGAAGGCCUUCGGGUUGUAAAGUACUUUCAGCGGGGAGGAAGGCGAUACGGUUAAUAACCGUGUCGAUUGACGUUACCCGCAGAAGAAGCACCGGCUAACUCCGUGCCAGCAGCCGCGGUAAUACGGAGGGUGCAAGCGUUAAUCGGAAUUACUGGGCGUAAAGCGCACGCAGGCGGUCUGUCAAGUCAGAUGUGAAAUCCCCGGGCUUAACCUGGGAACUGCAUUUGAAACUGGCAGGCUUGAGUCUCGUAGAGGGGGGUAGAAUUCCAGGUGUACGGUGAAAUGCGUAGAGAUCUGGAGGAAUACCGGUGGCGAAGGCGGCCCCUGGACGAAAACUGACGCUCAGUGCGAAAGCGUGGGGAGCAAAACAGGAUUAGAAUACCCUGGUAGUCCACGCUGUAAACGAUGUCGACUUGGAA
rnacentral:rRNA from 1 species